UACGGCCGUAUAAUAUUGAAACACCGGUUCUUGUACGAUAACCGAAGUUAAGCAACGUCGAGCCUGGUCAGUACCUUAAUGAGUAAACACUUGGGAAUACCAGAUGCUGUAAG